UCGAGGCCAACGACCCUGAGAGGUUAAAGAGCUGCAAUGGGCUCCCCAUCCUUCUAAAGAUGCAUCCGUCGUGAUCGUUACCGAAGGCGCGUCUUGUUGGAAUGGAACGCCUUCGAGAAGAGUCGACAUCGAGAACCACCAUCUCAGAGAUGCCCUCACUUGCUUCGGUAUCGAAAGGUGGGCGCAUACCACCGCCAUAACCUUCGUGAAGACCCUCGGCGCCGUGGCCAAUCCGAACGGAAGAACGGUGAACUGGUACUGGGACGCUCCGAUCGAAAACCGAAGAAGCUGCAGAAUUGAAGUAACCGUUGUCAUACGGAACUUCCUCGGGGUGAUGAACUUGUUCAGUUGUCUUAAGUCCAUGAUCGGUCGAAGACCUCCAUCUUUCUUCGGGACCGUGAAGUAACGAGAGAAAAAUCCCUGAUUGAGUUCCUCUGCAGGUACGGGAGAGAUGGCUCCCUUCGAUAGUAAGGUCUGU